rnacentral:rRNA from 1 species
CAGCAGCCACGGUAAUACGAAGGGUGCAAGCGUUAAUCGGAAUUACUGGGCGUAAAGCGUGCGUAGGUGGUGGUUUAAGUCCGUUGUGAAAGCCCUGGGCUCAACCUGGGAAUUGCAGUGGAUACUGGGUCACUAGAGUGUGGUAGAGGAUAGUGGAAUUUCCGGUGUAGCAGUGAAAUGCGUAGAGAUCGGAAGGAACAUCUGUGGCGAAGGCGACUAUCUGGGCCAACACUGACACUGAGGCACGAAAGCGUGGGGAGCAAACAGGAUUAGAGACCCCGGUAGUCCCUGUCUCUUAUAC